rfam:Caenorhabditis brenneri strain PB2801 C_brenneri-6.0.1_Cont76.21, whole genome shotgun sequence.
GGCGCCGUGGCGCAGUGGCUAGCGCUCUUGGUUUUGGACUCCAAGGUCCUGGGUUCAAUUCCACCCUGCGCCG